rnacentral:tRNA from 1 species
GGUUCCGUAGCUUAAUUGGAUAGAGCACUGCGUUACGGCCGCAGAGGUUGCAGGUUCGAGUCCUGCCGGGAUCACUA